UUGGGAAUCUUGCACAAUGGACGAAAGUCUGAUGCAGCGACACCGCGUGGAGGAUGACGGCCUUCGGGUUGUAAACUCCUUUUACGAGGGAGUAAAUUAUUGAAAGUACCUCGUGAAUAAGCACCGGCUAACCCCGUGCCAGCAGCCGCGGUAAUACGGGGGGUGCUAACGUUAUCCGGAAUUACUGGGCGUAAAGCGUAUGUAGGUGGUUUUGUGCGUCGACGAUGAAAGACUAUCGCUCAACGAUAGGAACGUUUUCGAUACGGCAAAACUGGAGAGAAGCAGGGGUGCACGGAACUUUCGGUGUAGGAGUGAAAUCCGUAGAUAUCGAAAGGAACACCAAUGGCGAAGGCAGUGCACUGGGCUUUUUCUGACACUGAGAUACGAAAGCGUGGGGAGCAAA
rnacentral:rRNA from 1 species